rnacentral:rRNA from 1 species
GAUUCCCCUAGUAACUGCGAGUGAAGCGGGAAAAGCUCAAAUUUAAAAUCUGGCAGUCUUUGGCUGUCCGAGUUGUAAUCUAGAGAAGUGUUAUCCACGCUGGACCGUGUACAAGUCUCCUGGAAUGGAGCGUCAUAGAGGGUGAGAAUCCCGUCUUUGACACGGACUGCCAGGGUUUUGUGAUGCGCUCUCAAAGAGUCGAGUUGUUUGGGAAUGCAGCUCAAAAUGGGUGGUAAAUUCCAUCUAAAGCUAAAUAUUGGCGAGAGACCGAUAGCGAACAAGUACCGUGAGGGAAAGAUGAAAAGAACUUUGGAAAGAGAGUUAAACAGUACGUGAAAUUGCUGAAAGGGAAACGCUUGAAGUCAGUCGCGUUGUCCAGGGAUCAACCUUGCUUUUGCUUGGUGCACUUUCUGGUUAACGGGUCAGCAUCAAUUUUGAUCAUUGGAAAAAAGUUGGGGGAAUGUGGCAUCUUCGGAUGUGUUAUAGCCCUUGGUUGUAUACAAUGGUUGGGAUUGAGGAACUCAGCACGCCGCAAGGCCGGGUUUUUAACCACGUACGUGCUUAGGAUGCUGGCAUAAUGGCUUUAAUCGACCCGUCUUGAAACACGGACCAAGGAGUCUAACAUACCUGCGAGUGUUUGGGUGGUAAACCCGAGCGCGUAAUGAAAGUGAAAGUUGAGAUCCCUGUCGCGGGGAGCAUCGACGCCCGGACCAGACCUUUUGUGACGGUUCUGCGGUAGAGCAUGUAUGUUGGGACCCGAAAGAUGGUGAACUAUGCCUGAAUAGGGUGAAGCCAGAGGAAACUCUGGUGGAGGCUCGUAGCGAUUCUGACGUGCAAAUCGAUCGUCAAAUUUGGGUAUAGGGGCGAAAGACUAAUCGAACCAU